CUUUACUGUAACCUGGAAUUGGGUUCGGGCUUUGACUGCGCAGGAUAGGUGGGAGACUAUGAAGCUGCCCUUGUGGGGGCAGUGGAGUCAUCAGUGAGAUACCACUCUGUCAAGGCUAGAAUUCUAACCGUCUGCCGUUAUCCGGCGACGGAACAGUAUCAGGUGGGCAGUUUGACUGGGGCGGUCGCCUCCUAAAUGGUAACGGAGGCGCGCAAAGGUUCCCUCAGGCUGGUUGGAAAUCAGCCGAAGAGUGUAAAGGCAGAAGGGAGCUUGACUGCAAGAGCAACAACUCAAGCAGGGACGAAAGUCGGCCUUAGUGAUCCGACGGCGCUGAGUGGAAGGGCCGUCGCUCAACGGAUAAAAGUUA
rnacentral:rRNA from 1 species